UUGAACAAAACUACUUAUUUCAAUCCGCUCAAAAUUUAUUUAAUACUGAAAUUGUCCGUGCAUGACCUAAAUAAGUGUUACUAUUUUUAAACUAUAAACAUCGUACAUUUAUGCUUUGGCUUGUGUUGUCAAAUCGGCAUUAAUGGCCAUUUAAUAUCAGGUUCAACAUGGACACGAUUGAUUUCAUUCAAGAUAGAGCACUUUGUCGACGGGAAAUCCAAUCAAGAAAACCCUGACCCUCAAGCAGCUAAUGUAUUUGACCAGCUCACACCAGCUAGGCCUCCUCCAAAACUCAGAUAAAUAUUUGAGCCACCAAAAAAAACGAGAACAGAUCGGUCUGAAUCGUUAAGAACUGAAGCUAACAUCAUAGAGGUACAUCCUUCCAAGAAUCCAUCAAAACAACAUGCUGAACAACUUCAAGAACUCUCUUCAAAAGACCACACUUUCCUGAAAUAAAUAAAAGAUGCCAACAUUAAAAU